UUCUUCCUCCCGCGCGCAACCCCCUUUCCCCCUUCAUUUUCUUUUUCUAUUUUCUCCUUCACCGUGCCCUACCUCCAGCCGCACCCUCCAACCGACCACCAUCGCUCUCCUCCUUCUUUUCUUCUCCGAUCCACGGCCGCCGCCCCUAUUCUUCUUCCAUUUCUCUUUCUUUUCUACCAUACCCAGCCGCCGCUGCAACCGUCGGUCGCCAUCUCUGUUCGCGAAGCAAGCCGUACGCGUCGCCUUGCAGUUGUCGUCCAGAUCUGCGUCGCCGUGCCCCGUCCUAAUCGCCUCUGUCUCCGUCGAAGCCAAGCCCAGCCGCCGCCCAUUCCUUUCCUCUCCGUUCGUGAAGCCCGGUCGCCGCGUCAGAUCGUCGAUCGAUUUUGAGGCAGCGCGCACGUCUCCUUCCAGCCGCGCGUUUCCUCUUCUUCCAGCAGCGUGUUCUUCUUCCAGCCGCAAUUCACAACCGACGUACACUCUAAUCUGUUUGUACGAUCUUUGUUGUUAGGUUCGAUCGUCGCUGCCGCCGUUUUUGUUGUGUUGGAAGUGACAUUGGGUCCCUCGUGUUCAUAACCGAAAUUGUGAAUUUUGGAGUUUGGCUCGCCAAUACUUCGUAUCUUUCGUGGGAUAUAGUUUGUUUAAGAAAUUGAGCAACCUUGAGGCAAAGGUAAUAAAGACGGCAAACCGGCGAGGGGCAGGAAGGAAGCGUGAUUGCCAUAGGGGUUAUUUUAAAUUGCUUAUGCUAAAUGUUUUGUUUCACGUGUUUUGUUUUAGUACUUGAGAUUGUUUAGAAAAUUUUAUAGUUGAACUGUAUUCACGAAUUAGUAAAUUUUUCUUGAAAGUGUUGGUUAUUUUAAACAGGGCCCAGAUAUAAAUUUUUGUUUUCUUGAGACUUUGAAAUUGUUUGAGAUUGAGAUUUUGAGUAAACUCAGGUCUUUAUUUGAAAUUAAUGACUUCGACUUACCUAGAAAAGUUGGGUCGUUACAUGUAUAUUAUGCCAGACUGGUAUAGAAGUAGAUACGAUGGAUAAUGUAUUUGUAAACUGAGAAAGGUGUUAUGUAUAUAUAUAUAUCUUGACUGUC